rnacentral:misc_RNA from 1 species
AGAAGAGCCUCCUUAGGGUUUUUUUAAUUUUUGUUCCGUAAAUAAAAUUAAAAAUUAAAAAGUAAACCUUAAUUGGAAGAGGCAUGACCUCCCUUGCCGCAUGCCUGUUGCCUCUUCCUCCUAGGCGGUUGCCUCUUGCAAGCGAGGCCAGGCAAUGCCAAGCAAAGCUCUAGAGGGUCACCUCUCCUCGCCCAGCACCUUGCCUAGAGCCUUUUCUCGCCUUUAACAACAGUGGGGAGAUGAAGAAAAGUUUGGAUACAUUAGCCACAAUUAUCCAUGACAAAAACAACCUGCUGAAACAGCUGUGUUCUGGAGUUGGAGCCUUCAAAAUCUGUUUCAAAUUCUGCCCAGUCCAUCAAUCAGCUGUUUCCCCCCAAUCUGCCUCAACUGCAAAUGGAAGUAUCCUAUUUUAACUCAAUCACAGCAACUGCACCGCUAUUCCCGGUCCUAUCCUGAAAGGUCAUGUUUAACCUUACAGCCCUCAUCAAGAAGUUACCUUCAAUAACAUGGAGGCCAUGAUGGUUUCCAAAGUGGUGUAAAGAUAGAAGGACUAGCUUUUGUGGAGAUUGUAAUCCAGAUGUUUGAAAAGAUUGGUCGCAUAGGUUACAAAGUUGGUUUCAUUGGUUUGUAAUACAAAUACAUGAUGUACACUAAUCAUAUUUUGCCAAGGCUAAACUUGAGGGAAUGACAAAAAUUUGAUGGAUUAAUAUGCAAGAAUUUUACACAAAGAAUGGCUUUGGAGAAGUUGCGGUGGGAAGAGAUGAAGCAAAUAAUGAUCCAACAAUUUAUGCCUCCCAACUACAAGCAAUGGGUCCAUCUCAAGUUUACCCAUUUGUGUCUAUAGAACAUGUCAUUGCAGGAAUAUACAAAUCAGUUCUAUAGAAUGGUAUGCUGUCAAAUUAUUUGUAGGAUGACAUCAUGAUGGCAACAUACUGCCACUGGUUGAAGCUGCAAAUUGAUUCUACCUUAACUGCUUCUUGAUUAAAUACCAUGUUUGAUGCAAUUCAAA